rnacentral:piRNA from 1 species
UGAGUUCCGGUGCGCUGUUGCCC